rnacentral:rRNA from 1 species
AGAUGGGCAUGCGUCUGAUUAGGUAGUUGGUGAGGUAAUGGCUCACCAAGCCGACGAUCAGUAGGGGUUCUGAGAGGAUUACCCCCCACACUGGUACUGAGACACGGACCAGACUCCUACGGGAGGCAGCAGUGAGGAAUAUUGGUCAAUGGCCGGAAGGCUGAACCAGCCAUCCCGCGUGCAGGAUGACGGCCCUAUGGGUUGUAAACUGCUUUUGUACCUGAAGAAACCUGGUUACGAGUAACCAGUUGCCGGUAAGGUAUGAAUAAGCAUCGGCUAACUCCGUGCCAGCAGCCGCGGUAAUACGGAGGAUGCAAGCGUUAUCCGGAUUCAUUGGGUUUAAAGGGUGCGCAGGUGGGAAAAUAAGUCAGUGGUGAAAUACUGCCGCUUAACGGUAGAAUUGCCAUUGAUACUGUUUUUCUUGAGUAUGGUUGAGGUAGGUGGAAUGUGUUGUGUAGCGGUGAAAUGCAUAGAUAUGACACAGAACGCCGAUUGCGAAGGCAGCUUACUAAGCCAUUACUGACGCUGAGGCACGAAAGCGUGGGGAUCAAACAGGAUUAGAUACCCUGGUAGUCCACGCCGUAAACGAUGAUCACUCGCUGUUUGCGAUAUACAGCAAGCGGCUGAGCGAAAGCAUUAA